rnacentral:rRNA from 1 species
AUGUCUUUCCAAAAGAAACAUUUCAAGAACCGCUGUACUUCACCCCAGAACAUUGAAGUAGACAGCGACAGUGAACCCGACUUCACCCCUGAGCCAGAACAAGAAGAGCCUGAACUACAAGAGGUUACUGCUGCGGAUGACCUGUCAAUGCUUGCGCGAUUACACAGAGGUGGCCUUCCACAUGAUGAUGCAUUUAUUAAUGAUGAUGAUGAUGAUGAGCACGUCAUUACUGAUAGUGAUAAUGUUGAUGCAUUUAUUGAUCCCGAAGCAUUUAUUCAACCCGACAAUCCAGAUUAUUAUUAG